rnacentral:rRNA from 1 species
GAUGAACGCUGGCGGCGUGCUUAACACAUGCAAGUCGAACGAACCUUCGGGUUAGUGGCGGACGGGUGAGUAACGCGUGGGAAUCUGCCCUCAGGAGGGGGAUAACGGUUGGAAACGACCGCUAAUACCCCAUAUGCCGAGAGGUGAAAUGAAUUUCGCCUGAGGAUGAGCCCGCGUCUGAUUAGCUUGUUGGUGAGGUAAUGGCUCACCAAGGCAUCGAUCAGUAGCUGGUCUGAGAGGAUGAUCAGCCACACUGGGACUGAGACACGGCCCAGACUCCUACGGGAGGCAGCAGUGGGGAAUUUUCCGCAAUGGGCGAAAGCCUGACGGAGCAACGCCGCGUGAGGGACGAAGGCCUCUGGGCUGUAAACCUCUUUUCUCAAGGAAGAAGAUAUGACGGUACUUGAGGAAUAAGCCACGGCUAAUUCCGUGCCAGCAGCCGCGGUAAUACGGGAGUGGCAAGCGUUAUCCGGAAUUAUUGGGCGUAAAGCGUCCGCAGGCGGCCUUUCAAGUCUGCUGUUAAAGCGUGGAGCUUAACUCCAUCAUGGCAGUGGAAACUGACUGGCUUGAGUAUGGUAGGGGCAGAGGGAAUUCCCGGUGUAGCGGUGAAAUGCGUAGAUAUCGGGAAGAACACCAGUGGCGAAGGCGCUCUGCUGGGCCAUUACUGACGCUCAUGGACGAAAGCCAGGGGAGCGAAAGGGAUUAGAUACCCCUGUAGUCCUGGCCGUAAACGAUGAACACUAGGUGUCGGGGGAAUCGACCCCUUCGGUGUCGUAGCUAACGCGUUAAGUGUUCCGCCUGGGGAGUACGCACGCAAGUGUGAAACUCAAAGGAAUUGACGGGGGCCCGCACAAGCGGUGGAGUAUGUGGUUUAAUUCGAUGCAACGCGAAGAACCUUACCAGGGUUUGACAUCCUGCGAACCUUUAAGAAAUUAGAGGGUGCCUUCGGGAACGCAGAGACAGGUGGUGCAUGGCUGUCGUCAGCUCGUGUCGUGAGAUGUUGGGUUAAGUCCCGCAACGAGCGCAACCCACGUUUUUAGUUGCCAGCAUUUAGUUGGGCACUCUAGAAAGACCGCCGGUGAUAAACCGGAGGAAGGUGUGGAUGACGUCAAGUCAUCAUGCCCCUUACAUCCUGGGCUUCACACGUACUACAAUGCUACGGACAAAGGGCAGCAAACUCGCGAGAGCUAGCAAAUCCCAUAAACCGUGGCUCAGUUCAGAUCGUAGGCUGCAACUCGCCUACGUGAAGUAGGAAUCGCUAGUAGUCGCAGGUCAGCAUACUGCGGUGAAUACGUUCCCGGGCCUUGUACACACCGCCCGUC